rnacentral:rRNA from 1 species
GAUGAACGCUGGCGGCGUGCUUAACACAUGCAAGUCGAACGGUGAAGGUGGGAGCUUGCUCCUGCUGGAUCAGUGGCGAACGGGUGAGUAACACGUGAGUAACCUGCCCCGGACUCUGGGAUAAGCGUUGGAAACGACGUCUAAUACCGGAUACGAGACGAGAAGGCAUCUUCAUCGUCUGGAAAGAUUUUUUGGUCUGGGAUGGACUCGCGGCCUAUCAGGUUGUUGGUGAGGUAAUGGCUCACCAAGCCUACGACGGGUAGCCGGCCUGAGAGGGUGACCGGCCACACGGGGACUGAGACCCGGCCCAGACUCCUACGGGAGGCAGCAGUGGGGAAUAUUGCACAAUGGGCGAAAGCCUGAUGCAGCAACGCCGCGUGAGGGACGACGGCCUUCGGGUUGUAAACCUCUUUUAGUAGGGAAGAAGCGAAAGUGACGGUACCUGCAGAAAAAGCACCGGCUAACUACGUGCCAGCCGCCGCCGUAA